rnacentral:lncRNA from 1 species
UCAAUUUAAGCAGAGCAUUUUGUACCACAAGUAACUAUGGAAUAUUCCUGCAAAGGUACUGAGCUGGAAAGUGAACCAGUGAGUCUGAGUCUCAAAGUGCAUCCCUAGCUGAAGACCUGGACUUGGAAUCCACAGACAAAUGCUAUUAUCUGAAACCCUAAAGUGGAAUAACAUUGCUCAAAGAAUACAGAAGGUGAGACGAACUGUGAAUUGAGGACCCCACCCUGGGGCACAAUUAUUUUAGAGAUUCCUGAAAGAAAAGCAACUAAGAAAGGAAACAGCAACGAGCUGACCAGAGAUAGGAGGAGAAUUCAUGACAUAUUAAUGUUAUGGGAGCCACAAAAGUGAAAACUGUAGCAGAGAGAUUCGGUAUCUGUUACAAUAAUGGAAAACUGACUGACACAAGAAAUUUUCUGAUCAGACACAUGAAGCAUAUGAGGAAGCAAUCAAGUGAAUAUUUAGGGAAAAGCCAUUUAAGCAGAGGGAAAGCAUCCUGGGAUGUCUAUGCUGGGAUAUUUUGGUGAAUUUGAGAAAAAGUAAGUAGAAAGGAUUUGUGAAACUGGUGCUCAGUGAUUUAUGAGUUGAAUUUAAAAGGUUUCCAGAAAUUAACUCAUACAGGAAUGUUUCUGCCAUAAUAAGAUUUUGGAUUUUAUU